rnacentral:rRNA from 1 species
CAGUAGCCGCGGUAAUGCGAAGGGGGCUAGCGUUGUUCGGAUUUACUGGGCGUAAAGCGCACGUAGGCGGACUUUUAAGUCAGGGGUGAAAUCCCGGGGCUCAACCCCGGAACUGCCUUUGAUACUGGGAGUCUUGAGUUCGAGAGAGGUGAGUGGAAUUGCGAGUGUAGAGGUGAAAUUCGUAGAUAUUCGCAGGAACACUAGUGGCGAAGGCGGCUCACUGGCUCGAUACUGACGCUGAGGUGCGAAAGCGUGGGGAGCAAACAGGAUUAGAUACCCCUGAAGUCCCUGUCUCUUAUAC